rnacentral:rRNA from 1 species
AUUCCAGCUCCAAUAGCGUAUAUUAAUGUUGUUGCAGUUAAAAAGCUCGUAGUUGGAUUUCUGGUGGGAGCGGCCGGUCCGCCGUAAGGUGUGUACUUGGUUGUCUCCUGUCAUCCUUGUGGGAACUGCUCUGGCAUUAAGUUGUCGGGGUUAGGGAACACAUCGUUUACUGUGAAAAAAUUAGAGUGUUUAAAGCAGGCUUAUGCCGUUGAAUACAUUAGCAUGGAAUAAUAAGAUAGGACUUUGGCGUCUAUUUUGUUGGUUUGCACACCAAGGUAAUGAUUAAUAGGGAUAGUUGGGGGUAUUCGUAUUUAAUUGUCAGAGGUGAAAUUCUUGGAUUUAUGAAAGACGAACUUCUGCGAAAGCAUUUACCAAAGAUGUUUUCAUCA